rnacentral:rRNA from 1 species
UACAGGGGGUGCAAACGUUGCUCGGAAUCAUUGGGCGUAAAGGGCGCGUAGGCGGCUUGGCAAGUGGAUGGUGAAAUCCCUCGGCUUAACCGAGGAACUGCCGUCCAAACUGCUUCGCUUGAGACCGGGAGAGGUGAGUGGAAUUCCCAGUGUAGCGGUGAAAUGCGUAGAUAUUGGGAGGAACACCAGUGGCGAAGGCGGCUCACUGGACCGGUACUGACGCUGAUGCGCGAAAGCGUGGGGAGCAAACGGG